rnacentral:rRNA from 1 species
CCUACGGGAGGCAGCAGUGAGGAAUAUUUGUCAAUGGACGAGAGUCUGAACCAGCCAAGUAGCGUGAAGGAUGACUGCCCUAUGGGUUGUAAACUUCUUUUAUAUGGGAAUAAAAUGUUCCACGUGUGGGAUUUUGUAUGUACCAUAUGAAUAAGGAUCGGCUAACUCCGUGCCAGCAGCCGCGGUAAUACGGAGGAUCCGAGCGUUAUCCGGAUUUAUUGGGUUUAAAGGGAGCGUAGGUGGAUUGUUAAGUCAGUUGUGAAAGUUUGCGGCUAAACCGUAAAAUUGCAGUUGAAACUGGCAGUCUUGAGUACAGUAGAGGUGGGCGGAAUUCGUGGUGUAGCGGUGAAAUGCUUAGAUAUCACGAAGAACUCCGAUUGCGAAGGCAGUUCACUGGACUGCAACUGACACUGAGGCUCGAAAGUGUGGGUAUCAAACAGGAUUAGAUACCCGAGUAGUC